AGUGAACGCUGGCGGUAGGCCUAACACAUGCAAGUCGAACGGCAGCACAGUAAGAGCUUGCUCUUACGGGUGGCGAGUGGCGGACGGGUGAGGAAUACAUCGGAAUCUACUUUUUCGUGGGGGAUAACGUAGGGAAACUUACGCUAAUACCGCAUACGACCUACGGGUGAAAGCAGGGGAUCUUCGGACCUUGCGCGAUUGAAUGAGCCGAUGUCGGAUUAGCUAGUUGGCGGGGUAAAGGCCCACCAAGGCGACGAUCCGUAGCUGGUCUGAGAGGAUGAUCAGCCACACUGGAACUGAGACACGGUCCAGACUCCUACGGGAGGGAGCAGUGGGGAAAUUUGGACAAUGGGCGCAAACCUGACCCAGCCAAACCGCGUGGGUGAAGAAGGCCUUCGGGUUUUAAAGCCCUUUUGUUGGGAAAGAAAAGCGGCCGGUUAAAACCCCCCUGUUCUGACGGUACCCAAAAAAUAAGCACCGGCUAACUUCGUG
rnacentral:rRNA from 1 species